CUCUGUCAGGAUGCUCUUGAUGAACCUGAACCCUCGCCUAAGCCUCGGCCCAAGCGUGCAAACAUGCCAGGGGUGGAAAAGGACCACACCUUUGCACUGCCAAGCUGUCCAAUUGCUCUAAAGAAGAGACUGAUUCAGGCUACAGACAAUGUGAUCACACUGGAGCGGGAGAAGAGUUAUGCAAGGAAGCGUGAACUGAGGGCAAAGAGUCAUAUGACAUAUACCUCCCGCCAUAUAUUGACUUGUCACCAGCACACUAUCGCAGGAAAAGUGGGCUGCUAAAUGCGCUUCCGCCUUCGACUACAGUACUGAGUUCUGCUUACAGUAGGCUGAUAUGUGAUGUUAUAUGUUUUUGUUUGUUUUGUACAAAAGUGUUCAUAAAGGCUGAAGUGUUUCGAC